rnacentral:rRNA from 1 species
UACGAAGGGUGCAAGCGUUACUCGGAAUUACUGGGCGUAAAGCGUGCGUAGGUGGUUUGUUAAGUCGGAUGUGAAAUCCCCGGGCUCAACCUGGGAACUGCAUUCGAAACUGGCAGGCUAGAGUCUUGUAGAGGGGGGUAGAAUUCCAGGUGUAGCGGUGAAAUGCGUAGAGAUCUGGAGGAACACCGGUGGCGAAGGCGGCCUUCUGGACAGUGACUGACGCUGAGACGCGAAAGCGUGGGGAGCAAACAGG